rnacentral:rRNA from 1 species
UACGUAGGGUGCAAGCGUUAAUCGGAAUUACUGGGCGUAAAGCGUGCGCAGGCGGUCUUGCAAGACAGAUGUGAAAUCCCCGGGCUUAACCUGGGAACUGCAUUUGUGACUGCAUGGCUAGAGUGCGGCAGAGGGGGAUGGAAUUCCGCGUGUAGCAGUGAAAUGCGUAGAUAUGCGGAGGAACACCGAUGGCGAAGGCAAUCCCCUGGGCCUGCACUGACGCUCAUGCACGAAAGCGUGGGGAGCAAACAGG